rnacentral:tRNA from 1 species
GCCCUCGUGGCGCAAUUGGAUAGCGCGACACCCCCCUAAGGUGUAGGUUCCAGGUUCAAAUCCUGGCGGGGGCG